AUGCUGGAUUACCUCAGUGCUGAUCAGUGGAAAAUCAAAAAGGAUGAGAAGGAUGACAAACACUUUUGAGCUCUGAAUGAAGAGGAUACUGCCUUGCUGAAAAAUCGUGGUCAGAGCACUUAUUCUAGGCAGAUUAAGCAGGUUGAGAAUGACAUUCAACAACUUCUUAAGAAAAUUAAUUAUCUCAGUAGUGUUAAAGAGUCUGACACUAGCCUGGCCACCACCAGCACUCUGGGAUUUGGCUGCAAAUAAGCAAAUGCUCCAGGGUGAACAAUGUUUACAGGUUGCAAGGUGUAGAAAGAUAGUAAAUGCUGAUUCUGAGAACUCAAAAUACAUUGUCAAUGUGGAGCAGAUUGCUAAGUUUAUGGCAGACCUCAGUGAUCUACUGACAUUGAGGCAGGGAUGAAAUUUGAUGUGGAAGAAUGUAAGUAUUAAAUUCAUAUUCCCAUACUUUCUAAGAUUGAUCCAACAAUUACCAUGAUGCCAGUGGAGUAAAAACCUGAUGUCAUAUACAGUGAUGUUGUUGGCUGUAGGGAACAGAUUGAGACAUUGUAAGUAGUUGAAACCCCACUACUUCAUCCAGAGAGAUUUGUUAACCUUGGCAUGGAGCCUCCCAAGAGUGUGCUCUUUGGUCCACUAGGUGCAAGACACUCUGUGCUUAGGUGGUUGCUAAAUAGGACUGAUGCUUGCUUCAUUGAGUUAUUGGAUAUUAACUUUUACAGAAAUAUAUCUGCAAAGGGGCUGGAAUGAUUCAUGAGCUCUUCCCAAUGGCCAGAACAAGAAACGCCUGCCUUAUCUUCUUUGAUGAAACUGAUGCUAUUGGAAGAGCUCAGUUUGAUGAUGGUGCUGGAGGUGACAAUGAAGUACAGAGAAAAAUGUGAGAACUAAUUCAUCAGUUGGAUGGCUUUGACCCUCAAGGCAAUAUUAAGUGCUGAUGGCCACUAACAGACCUGAUACUUUGGAUUCAGCACUGAUGAAGCCAGGGAAAUUGGAUAGAAAGAUUGAAUUUAGUUUACCUGAUCUAGAGGGUCAGACUCACAUCUUU
rnacentral:lncRNA from 1 species